rnacentral:rRNA from 1 species
GAUGAACGCUAGCGGCAGGCUUAAUACAUGCAGGUCGUGGGGCAGCAGGUCUGUAGCAAUACAGAUGCUGGCGACCGGCAAACGGGUGCGUAACACGUACGCAACCUUCCCGUUACUGGGGAAUAGCCCAGGGAAACUUGGAUUAAUACCCCAUAUUAUAUUGGUUAGGCAUCUGACUGAUAUCAAAGCUUCGGCGGUAACGGAUGGGCGUGCGGUUGAUUAGGUAGUUGGCGGGGUAACGGCCCACCAAGCCUACGAUCAAUAGCUGAUGUGAGAGCAUGAUCAGCCACACGGGCACUGAGACACGGGCCCGACUCCUACGGGAGGCAGCAGUAAGGAAUAUUGGGCAAUGGACGAAAGUCUGACCCAGCCAUGCCGCGUGAAGGAUGAAGGUCCUCUGGAUUGUAAACUUCUUUUAUCUGGGGCGAAAAUCGGUUAUUCUUAGCCGCUUGACAGUACCAGAUGAAUAAGCACCGGCUAACUCCGUGCCAGCAGCCGCAGUAACAC